CCGGUUUUAAUACAUGUGUUUUCUGACUUUUCGGAUAGCCAACUCUUGUUUUUUGGAACUUACGACUUAUGACAAGAGAGAAGAAAACUGUGUGACUUUAAAAGAAAACCAGUGAGAUAAAAUUAUAGAAAAUGUAUGAUGAUUCAGGAUGUGGUCAUUUGUGACAUUAAAACAGGAAUUGUCAUCACCAAUAGACGAAUUUCACAUUCCUAAGAGUUUUCUCCAAUUGUCGGCGUAUCGCUCAUUUUCCCCACUUUGUCCUUUGUCCUGUUCUGUGGAUGCCCUUAGACAGUGUCUACCCAUCACUCCAUCUGAAAUCACUUGUUCUGUGCAUAUUUCUCUCUCAAACUUAAACUACAGAGAGCCUGUGGAUAGAGGAUGAAGAGUGACCUUGGACUAAUUUUCUAGGUCAAAGAUCAUAGGUGAUGUGAAGAAAACCAGGAAACUGAUGUUGAAAGAAGUACUUAAUGACCCUUAUGAAUGGACUUAAAUGUGAAAGACUGUUCCAUUGUUUAUCUAAGAUAUAUG